rnacentral:rRNA from 1 species
CCUACGGGAGGCAGCAGUGGGGGAUAUUGCACAAUGGGGGGAACCCUGAUGCAGCGACGCCGCGUGGGUGAAGGAGUGCUUCGGCAUGUAAAGCCCUAUCGGCAGGGAAGAAGCAAGACGGUACCUGACUAAGAAGCCCCGGCUAACUACGUGCCAGCAGCCGCGGUAAUACGUAGGGGGCGAGCGUUCUCCGGAUUCACUGGGUGUAACGGGAACGUAGACGGCCAAGCAAGCCAGGGGUGAAAGCCCGGGGCCCAACCCCGGGACUGCCCUUGGAACUGCAUGGCUGGAGUGCGGGGUGGGCAGGCGGAAUUCCUGGUGGAGCGGUGAAAGGCGUAGAUAUCAGGAGGAACACCGGCGGAGAAGGCGGCCUGCUGGACCGCGACUGACGUUGAGGCUCGAAAGCGUGGGGAGCGAACAGGAUGAGAUACCCUUGUAGUC